CAGUCGCCGCGGUAAUACGAAGGGGGCUAGCGUUGUUCGGAUUUACUGGGCGUAAAGCGCACGUAGGCGGACUUUUAAGUCAGGGGUGAAAUCCCGGGGCUCAACCCCGGAACUGCCUUUGAUACUGGAAGUCUUGAGUAUGGUAGAGGUGAGUGGAAUUCCGAGUGUAGAGGUGAAAUUCGUAGAUAUUCGGAGGAACACCAGUGGCGAAGGCGGCUCACUGGACCAUUACUGACGCUGAGGUGCGAAAGCGUGGGGAGCAAACAGGAUUAGAUACCCGGGUAGUCCCUGUCUCUUAUAC
rnacentral:rRNA from 1 species